GCGGCGCGCUUAACACAUGCAAGUCGAGCGAGAAAGGGGCAACCCCGGUAAAGCGGCGCACGGGUGAGUAACACGUAGGUAAUCUACCCUCGGGUGGAGGAUAACUUCCGAAAGGAAGGCUAAUACUGCAUGAGACCACGGCCUCGAAAGGGGCAGGGGUCAAAGCCGGCCUCUGUACACAAGCUGGCGCCUGAGGAUGAGCCUGCGGCCCAUCAGCUAGUUGGUAGGGUAAUGGCCUACCAAGGCGAAGACGGGUAGCUGGUCUGAGAGGAUGAUCAGCCACACUGGAACUGAGACACGGUCCAGACUCCUACGGGAGGCAGCAGUGGGGAAUCUUGCGCAAUGGGCGAAAGCCUGACGCAGCGACGCCGCGUGAGUGAUGAAGGCCUUCGGGUUGUAAAGCUCUGUGGAGAGGGACGAAUAAGUGUUGGCUAACAUCCAGCAUGAUGACGGUACCUCUUUAGCAAGCACCGGCUAACUCUGUG
rnacentral:rRNA from 1 species